rnacentral:rRNA from 1 species
CUGGAGGUCCGAACCCACGCACGUUGAAAAGUGCGGGGAUGAGGUGUGGGUAGCGGAGAAAUUCCAAUCGAACUUGGAGAUAGCUGGUUCUCUCCGAAAUAGCUUUAGGGCUAGCCUCGAGGUAAAGAGUCAUGGAGGUAGAGCACUGUUUGGACUAGGGGCCCUUCUCGGGUUACCGAAUUCAGAUAAACUCCGAAUGCCAUGUACUUAUACUCGGGAGUCAGACUGCGAGUGAUAAGAUCCGUAGUCGAAAGGGAAACAGCCCAGACCACCAGUUAAGGUCCCCAAAUAUAUGUUAAGUGGAAAAGGAUGUGGGGUUGCUUAGACAACCAGGAUGUUGGCUUAGAAGCAGCCACCAUUGAAAGAGUGCGUAAUAGCUCACUGGUCGAGUGACCCCGCGCCGAAAAUGUACCGGGGCUAAACAUAUUACCGAAACUGUGGAUGAACCUCUUUAGAGGUUCGUGGUAGGAGAGCGUUCUAAGGG